rnacentral:rRNA from 1 species
UUCGGGUGAGCGGCGAACGGGGUGAGUAACGCGUGGGAAUGUGCCCUUCUUUGCGGAAUAGCCAUUGGAAACGAUGAGUAAUACCGCAUACGCCCUUCGGGGGAAAGAUUUAUCGGAGAAGGAUCAGCCCGCGUUAGAUUAGGUAGUUGGUGGGGUAAUGGCCUACCACGCCUACGAUCUAUAGCUGGUUUGAGAGGAUGAUCAGCCACACUGGGACUGAGACACGGCCCAGACUCCUACGGGAGGCAGCAGUAGGGAAUCUUAGACAAUGGGCGCAAGCCUGAUCUAGCCAUGCCGCGUGUGUGACGAAGGCCUUAGGGUCGUAAAGCACUUUCGCCAGGGAUGAUAAUGACAGUACCUGGUAAAGAAACCCCGGCUAACUCCGUGCCAGCAGCCGCGGUAAUACGGAGGGGGUUAGCGUUGUUCGGAAUUACUGGGCGUAAAGCGUGCGUAGGCGGAAGCUUAAGUCUGAUGUGAAAGCCCCGGGCUUAACCUGGGAAUGGCAUUGGAAACUGGGUUUCUAGAGUGUGGUAGAGGAUAGUGGAAUUUCCCCAGUGUAGCGGUGAAAUGCGUAGAUAUUGGAAAGAACACCGAUGGCGAAGGCAGCUAUCUGGCCAACA